rnacentral:rRNA from 1 species
CCGGCGACCGGCGCACGGGUGAGUAACACGUAUGCAACCUGGCCGUCAACAGGUGGAUAACCGGAAGAAAUUCCGACUAAUACAGCAUAACACUCCUGAGGGGACAUCCCUUGGGAGUCAAAGGAGGCAACUCCGGUGACGGAUGGGCAUGCGGCGCAUUAGGUAGUUGGUAGGGUAACGGCCUACCAAGCCGACGAUGCGUAGGGGUUCUGAGAGGAAGGUCCCCCACAUUGGAACUGAGACACGGUCCAAACUCCUACGGGAGGCAGCAG